rnacentral:rRNA from 1 species
AAACCAGCACCUCAAGUGGUCAGGAGGAUUAUUGGGCCUAAAGCAUCCGUAGCCUGCUGCAUAAGUUUUCGGUUAAAUCCAUACGCUCAACGUAUGGGCUGCCGGGAAUACUGUGCAGCUAGGGAGUGGGAGAGGUAGACGGUACUCGGUAGGAAGGGGUAAAAUCCUUUGAUCUAUUGAUGACCACCUGUGGCGAAGGCGGUCUACCAGAACACGUUCGACGGUGAGGGAUGAAAGCUGGGGGAGCAAACCGGAUUAGAUACCCCAGUAGUCC